rnacentral:rRNA from 1 species
GACGAACGCUGGCGGCGUGCUUAACACAUGCAAGUCGAGCGGUAAGGCCCUUUCGGGGUACGACGAGCGGCGAACGGGUGAGUAACACGUGGGUGACCUCGCCCUCAGCUCUGGGAUAAGCCUGGGAAACCGGGUCUAAUACUGGAUAUGACUCCAUGACGCAUGUUGGUGGGGUGGAAAGCCUUGUGCGGCUGAGGAUGGGCCCGCGGCCUAUCAGCUUGUUGGUGGGGUGACGGCCUACCAAGGCGACGACGGGUAGCCGGCCUGAGAGGGCGACCGGCCACA